rnacentral:rRNA from 1 species
CCCUUAGAUGUUCUGGGCUGCACGCGCGCUACACUGAAGCGUUCAACGAGUAUUCACCUUGCCCGGGAGGGUUGGGUAAUCUUUUGAAAACGCUUCGUGAUGGGGAUAGAUUAUUGCAAUUAUUAAUCUUCAACGAGGAAUUCCUAGUAAGCGCGAGUCAUCAGCUCGUGCUGAUUACGUCCCUGCCCUUUGUACACACCGCCCGUCGCUCCUACCGAUUGGGUGAUCCGGUGAAUGAUUCGGACUGACGUUGUACUAGCUACUAGUUCAAUGUUAGGAAGUUUUGUGAACCUAAUCACUUGGAGGAAGGAGAAGUCGUAACA